rnacentral:rRNA from 1 species
UACGGAGGGAGCUAGCGUUGUUCGGAAUUACUGGACGUAAAGCGCGCGUAGGCGGCUUUGUAAGUUAGAGGUGAAAGCCUGGAGCUCAACUUCAGAAUUGCCUUUAAGACUGCAUCGCUUGAAUCCGGGAGAGGCGAGUGGAAUUCCGAGUGUAGAGGUGAAAUUCGUAGAUAUUCGGAAGAACACCAGUGGCGAAGGCGGCUCACUGGACCGGCAUUGACGCUGAGGUGCGAAAGCGUGGGGAGCAAACAGG